GGGCUGGUAGUUCAGAGGUAGAAUACCCCCUUGGCAUGGGGGAGGUCGGGGGUUCGAGUCCCCCCCAGUCCACCA
rnacentral:tRNA from 1 species